CAGCAGCCGCGGUAAUACGAAGGGUGCAAGCGUUACUCGGAAUUACUGGGCGUAAAGCGUGCGUAGGUGGUGGUUUAAGUCCGUUGUGAAAGCCCUGGGCUCAACCUGGGAAUUGCAGUGGAUACUGGAUCACUAGAGUGUGGUAGGGGAUAGUGGAAUUCCCGGUGUAGCGGUGUAAUGCGUAGAGAUCGGGAGGAACAUCAGUGGCGAAGGCGGCCAUCUGGGACAACACUGACGCUGAGGCACGAAAGCGUGGGGAGCAAACAGGAUUAGAUACCCCAGUAGUCCCUGUCUCUUAUAA
rnacentral:rRNA from 1 species